UGCCUAACACAUGCAAGUCGAACGCGAAAGUCCCGCAAGGGAUCGGUAGAGUGGCAAACGGGUGAGUAACACGUGGGUGACCUGCCUUCGAGUGGGGGAUAACGUCCCGAAAGGGACGCUAAUACCGCAUAAUAUCCUGCCUUUUAAGAGGUGGACAUCAAAGCUGGGGAUCGCAAGACCUAGCGCUUGAAGAGGGGCCCGCGUCCGAUUAGCUAGUUGGUGGGGUAAUGGCUCACCAAGGCUACGAUCGGUAGCCGGCCUGAGAGGGCGGACGGCCACACUGGGACUGAGACACGGCCCAGACUCCUACGGGAGGCAGCAGUGGGGAAUUGUUCGCAAUGGGCGCAAGCCUGACGACGCAACGCCGCGUGGAGGAUGAAGAUCUUCGGGUCGUAAACUCC
rnacentral:rRNA from 1 species